CUUAUCACUUGUUUCUUUUUAAUUUAUUUAAUACACUUCCUGAAACAUCAAAAUACCCAGUAAAGGAGAAAGAACCAGUAACUUAUAUUUAAGUACCGUANGGGAAUACAAAAAAUAAAAUAAAGUAGUUUUACAGGCGUACUUUUUGUAUCACGAUUUAGCAAGAAUUUAUCAGAACUCUGUUUUCUCGAAAGCUAGUGAGCUAUUUUCUUCAGGUUAUUAGUACCUCUGUUCUAAAUGUAGCAAAAUUUAAACAAUAGAAGAAAAUAGAGAUAAGAUUUCAUUCGCACUAGCGAUAGCUAGUUUCUUUGGAAAGAUAUAAAAGUGUCGGGGAACCAGUAGUAUUUUGAUAUAUAGCAUUAAAUAACUCAUUUUUCCACUAAGUUUUUCGAGGAUAAGCUCGAAAAAAAAUUAAGAUAUCUAUAAGCUUAGUUUGUUGUGUAGGCUUAAGAUUAGCCAUCACAGAGUUUGUUACAAAACAACCAUAAAAAAGCACAAAAUUAAUCUAGUUUUAUCUAAUUUCCUACAAAGAUAAAAGCUUUAAUCCUUAAAAGCUUUAUACCUAUGCUAAAAUGAGUAUUAUAACCAGUCUAGAAGAAAAAGUUAUCUAUUAUUUUUUAUUUAAAAAACACUUUCAGGACUAAAUAGUAGGAAGGAACUCGGCAAAUUAAGUUGCUUCGCCUGUUUAUCAAAAACAUGGCUCUUUGAAUAAUUAAGUAUAAAGAGUCGAGCCUGCCCAGUGAAUUUUUAACGGCCGCGGUACUCUGACCGUGCAAAGGUAGCAUAAUCAUUUGCCUUAUAAUUGAAGGCUAGUAUGAAUGGUUUGACGAGAGCAACACUGUCUCCUUAUUACUUUUUAGAACUUAACUUUUAGGUGAAGAGGCCUAAAUCUUAUUGAAGGACAAGAAGACCCCGUCGAGCUUAAAAGACAUUGUAGAAGUUGAUAUAAUUCUAAAUAAAUAUUCUAUUAAGCUUUUUAGUUGGGGCGACUAAGGAACAAAAGAAGCUUCUUAACUAAUAAUAUACAGUCAUGUAAAGAUCCGAUACAGCCGAUCAAAGAAAUUAGUUACCGCGGGGAUAACAGCAUAAUCUUUCUUGAGAGACCUAAUCGAAAGAGGGGGUUGUGACCUCGAUGUUGGCCUAGAAUAUCCUAAAGAUGCAGAAGUCUUUGAGGGUUGGUCUGUUCGCCCAUUAAAAUUCUACAUGAUCUGAGUG
rnacentral:rRNA from 1 species